GACGAACGCUGGCGGCGUGCUUAACACAUGCAAGUCGAACGGACAGGCCCUGCUUUUGUGGGGUGCUCGAGUGGCGAACGGGUGAGUAACACGUGAGUAAACUGUCCCUGUCUUUGGGAUAAAUUCAGGAGACUGGGGCUCAUAUCGGAUAGGAGCUCCUGCAGCAUGGUGGGGGUUGGUAAGAUUCGGCGGUUGGGGCUGGACUCGCGGCUUAUCAGCUUGAUGGUGGGGUAGUGGCUUACCAAGGCUUUGACGGGUAGCCGGCCUGAGAGGGUGACCGGCCACAUAGGGACUGAGGUGCGGCCCAGACUCCUACGGGAGGCAGCAGUGGGGAAGAUUGCACAAUGGGCGGAAGCCUGAUGCAGCAACGCCGCGUGCGGGAUGACGGUCUUCGGGUUGUAAACCGCUUUCGCCUGUGACGAAGCGUGAGUGACGGUAAUGGGUAAAGAAGCACCGGCUAACUACGUG
rnacentral:rRNA from 1 species